rnacentral:rRNA from 1 species
GACGAACGCUGGCGGCGUGCUUAACACAUGCAAGUCAAGGGGGCCCAGCAAUGGGCAACCGGCGAACGGGUGCGUAACACGUGAGCAACCUACCGAACUGUGGGGGAUAGCCGGCCUAACGGCCGAGUAAUACCGCAUACGCUCUCAGUGAGGCAUUUCAUUGAGAGGAAACCUACGGGACAGAUCGAGGGGCUCGCGGCCUAUCAGCUAGUUGGCGAGGUAACGGCUCACCAAGGCAACGACGGGUAGCUGGUCUGAGAGGAUGGCCAGCCACAUUGGGACUGAGAUACGGCCCAGACUCCUACGGGAGGCAGCAGUGGGGAAUCUUGCGCAAUGGCCUAACGGCUGACGCAGCGACGCCGCGUGUGGGAUGAAGCUCUUCGGAGUGUAAACCACUGUUGCCCGGGACGAAUAGCUCGAUUAAUCGAGCCUGACAGUACCGGGUGAGGAAGCACCGGCUAACUCCGUGCCAGCCGCCGCGGU